rnacentral:lncRNA from 1 species
AUAACCCGAAAUACCAUAAAACAAGAUCCAUUCGGUAUUUACAUCGGGUUCGGAUCGGUUCGGAUUCAUUUUUUUCGGAUCGGAUUCGGUUCGGGUUUUCGGGUUCAGUUUAUUUGCCCAGCCCUAGGAAGAAUAGCUAGAUUCAGGUAUGACAAGUAAAAAUUAAAUUGGGUUUUUAGGGGUUUAUUGAUAUUAAUUGUUCUUGAAUUCAAACUAAGAUAUAAUCAAUCUGAUUAUCUAAUCUGGAUCUUGGAUUUCAACUCUCGUAUGUUAAUCACGAGA